AUUAAAGAGCAAGUAAAAUCCUUGCAGUGUGGCUGGGGUAAAAGACAGACAGGAGAAACCAAGAAAAUGAGCCUCAAAGGCCUCUGGAAUAUUUAAACCUUCCUUCAGAGAACUCAGUGCAAAGAUCUGCUUCAAGGAUUUAAUUUUUAAGAAGGUUUUGAUAAAGGUAACAUGAAAAACACUGUGUAUGAAGGUAGCUGUGUCCUCAACCAUGCCCUUCUAGUUGCAGUGUGCCAGUCUGCUGUGAGAUGGGUGCCUCUCCAAACCUGUUGUCUCAGUUGAAGCAGGACGCGUAGAGUUGAUUAUUGCAUUAUUGCCA
rnacentral:lncRNA from 1 species